UCCCCCGUCUCCGCCCGGGCGGCCGCGAGCCCAGGAAAAUCCCCCCAGCUGUAAUCAGGCCAGCGGCGGCGAGUGAUGUCAUUGUUUGUGGAAAUCUGCUCCAGGCAGGUCAGGAGCUAAGCAGCUGAGAAGUCAAGCAGGAGACUAGGCUUGCCCCUGUCGGCGAUUGUGACAGGAGGGGACUCCUGCAGGAGUCCCGGCUGCACCAAGGAAACUGCCUUCAGCAUGAAGUCAGAAUCUAUACAAGAAAAACACUAUUGAUGGAAAUAAAUAUGUUUUUAAAGCUAUGGGUCACACUGUAUUCAGAGCAAGUCUGGUUGCUGACAUAAAAAUAUGAACAUUGCUGAAGAUUUUCAUUAAAACGAGACAUGCACCAGGAGGAGCUGGCAAGUUUCCUUGGCAAGAACAGAUGAAUAAAUAAGGAGCAUGAGCUUGCGUCUUUUAGCUGAGAUGAUUUGUCAAAAACCUCAGCACUGUGGCUAUUUUCAAAUUUUAAGAGCUAUGUUCCACCUUAAUCAAGGGAAAAUUUAAAAGCUAAAUCAUUGACUGUAUCGAGGAAAAGAUUUUGGUAGAAGAUGAAGUCAAUUGCAGGUAUGGCCGAAUAUAUUGACUUAAAAGUAUGUCAGGAAUAUGCUAGAGUGGUAGGCAAUGGUGAAUUACCUACUCAUGUUUGACUAAUUUAUUGAGUGGUGAGUGGUGUUGAGUGAAGGAUUUCAUGAAAAAUAAUUGGCUUUGAUCCUCAAGGACGAACAAAUUAUCUGAGCAAGAGACUCUUGAGGAUCAGUCACUUGUUAUAAGUACUACGUGGUACAUAUGGACAGAUUGGGUUCUGCAAUAUGACCUGAGUUUAUCUUUGUAAUUUUUCAACAUUAUCAGAUAUUAAUAUGUAGCUCCAACUGUGCAUACUAUAUAUGUCUGGUUAUUUCCAUUUUCCCAAUCAGAUCUCUCCAUCCUUCUCCACUGUGUGCUGUGCCUGGAGAUUGGCUUUUAUGGAUCAUAUCACUGAGACUUGUUGCUUUACAGCUUCCCACUGGAUUUAGCCAACAGGAGGCACUGUUUAAAACAUUGGAGAGUUGGGUGGGAGAGUCAGCUCAGGGUUUUCAUUUUCUAGGCUCCUUCUGUGUUAGAUCUCUGCACAUUGCCUUCACUUCUUUCAGAGCUCCUGUCAGGGAGCCCUUUCCAGAUUCCAUUAACCAGCCCCUCCCCUUGUCUUUUUAGGCCUAAUUGGAAAAUGGCUCCAGUAUGUUGCUAGUCCCAUGGGCUUCACUAUGCUUCACUGGAUUUGCUUGCUCCUCCCAUACAUUU